rnacentral:rRNA from 1 species
GUUUGAGUUAUGGCUCAGGAUGAACGCGUAGCUACAGGCUUAACACAUGCAAGUCGAGGGGCAGCAUGGGAGUUGCUUGCAACUCCGAUGGCGACCGGCGCACGGGUGAGUAACGCGUAUCCAACCUCCCCCACAGUAGAGGAUAGCCCGGCGAAAGUCGGAUUAAUACUCUAUGUUGUAUUUCGAGGACAUCUGACGAAUACCAAAGGUUUACCGCUAUGGGAUGGGGAUGCGUCUGAUUAGGUAGUCGGCGGGGUAACGGCCCACCGAGCCAUCGAUCAGUAGGGGUUCUGAGAGGAAGGUCCCCCACAUUGGUACUGAGACACGGACCAAACUCCUACGGGAGGCAGCAGUGAGGAAUAUUGGUCAAUGGGCGCGAGCCUGAACCAGCCAAGUAGCGUGCAGGACGACUGCCCUAUGGGUUGUAAACUGCUUUUAUGCGGGAAUAAAGUCAGGUACGUGUACCUGUUUGUAUGUACCGCAUGAAUAAGGACCGGCUAAUUCCGUGCCAGCCGCUGC